UGGGGAAUAUUGCACAAUGGGCGAAAGCCUGAUGCAGCAACGCCGCGUGAGUGAUGAAGGCCUUCGGGCUGUAAAGCUCUGUCUUUUGGGACGAUAAUGACGGUACCAAAGGAGGAAGCCACGGCUAACUACGUGCCAGCAGCCGCGGUAAUACGUAGGUGGCAAGCGUUGUCCGGAUUUACUGGGCGUAAAGGAUGCGUAGGCGGAUUUUUAAGUGAGAUGUGAAAUACCCGGGCUUAACUUGGGUGCUGCAUUUCAAACUGGGAAUCUAGAGUGCGGGAGAGGAGAAUGGAAUUCCUAGUGUAGCGGUGAAAUGCGUAGAGAUUAGGAAGAACACCAGUGGCGAAGGCGAUUCUCUGGACCGUAACUGACGCUGAGGCAUGAAAGCGUGGGUAGCAAACAGGAUUAGAUACCCUGGUAGUCCACGCCGUAAACGAUGAGUACUAGGUGUAGGAGGUAUCGACCCCUUCUGUGCCGCAGUUAACACAAUAAGUACUCCGCCUGGGAAGUACGAUCGCAAGAUUAAAACUCAAAUGAAUUGACGGGGUC
rnacentral:rRNA from 1 species